UGAGGGAAUAUUGGGUCAAUGGGCGCAAGCCUGAACCAGCCAAGUAGCGUGCAGGACGACGGCCCUCCGGGUUGUAAACUGCUUUUAGUUGGGAAUAAAGUGCGGGACGUGUCCCGUUUUGUAUGUACCAUCAGAAAAAGGACCGGCUAAUUCCGUGCCAGCAGCCGCGGUAAUACGGAAGGUCCGGGCGUUAUCCGGAUUUAUUGGGUUUAAAGGGAGCGUAGGCCGGAGAUUAAGCGUGUUAUGAAAUGUAGUGGCUCAACCUCUGCACUGCAGCGCGAACUGGUCUUCUUGAGUACGCACAACGUGGGCGGAAUUCGUGGUGUAGCGGUGAAAUGCUUAGAUAUCACGAAGAACUCCGAUUGCGAAGGCAGCUCACGGGAGCGCAACUGACGCU
rnacentral:rRNA from 1 species